GGAUUAUUUUUGUUGUAAAUUUCAGUAAGCAAAAGCUGUAUAUGAGGAAUUGUGGAAUGGUUCUUACUUCAACUACGACAAUAAUGGUAGCCGCUCAAGUUCAUCUAUUCAAGCUAAUCAGUUUACUGGACAAUGUUAUGCACGAGCAUGUGCUCUUUCAGCGAUAGUUGAUGAAGACAAAGCAAAAAGAGCAUUAGAGAAGGUUUUUCUCUAUAAUAUCUUAAAGAAUAUGGAUGCACCGAUCAAUGGGAUCUACCUGUUGGAACAGUUGACAUGACAACAUUGCAUUCAAGAAAAAUAUGGUCUGGUGUUACAUAUGCAGUUGCUGUAACGAUGAUUGUGGAGAUUUGGUUGAUAUGGGAUUUCAAAUUGCCAUUGAAAUCUAUGAAGCAGUAUGGUCUAAAAAUGGACUCGAGUGAGAACCCCCUAAGUUUAUCAAACACUGUUAUCUUAUAGCUUAGUUAAUAGGCUGUUAACUAAGGUAUGAGUUUGUGUUUUUUAGAUCUAAAUCUAUCUCAAAUCUGUAUAGAUUUCAUUGCAUCAUUUGUUUUGUCAGUUCAUUUAUUUUUUUGGUGGAUGUGCCGUUUAACCAUUUUCUAUUAGAUUCUUGAUGUUGUGAAAUGUUGGACAAAACUCCUGUAGUUAUAAUGUCUAGUAGAUAAUAUUUUUGCUCCUUAGGUGAUGAAGGAGGAGAAGAAUAACAUAGAUAGAUAAUAUAGGAUUCUAUAUAGGGAGAUAGAGAGAAAUUAAUAGGUUAAGAGGAGAAAUCAAGAAAUGGAUACCAAGGAUUGAAAUACUCUAUCCUAAAAUGUAGAAGAUAAGGACUAAAUACCCGUUUGCACCCGUCCUUUACUUCUUGCAUCGUCAAGUUACUACCUUUAGGACAAUUUUCUGUCGAUUACAAUUGGAAACUUUAUAUUCUGCAUAAUUUACACUGAAAAUUAUCUGCUUCAGAAUUAUUUGUUCCUGAUAAUUCAUUGACUCAUUGUUGUUUUCUGCGUAGUUAUUCUUUCUAAACUCCUGAAGCUUGGACCACUGUUGAUUGUUUUAGAGCGCUAAGUUACAAGCAUUCUUUGGCCGUAUGGGCAAUGGGCUCUUACAAGGCCAAAACCUUGUAAGAAUGGAAUGAAACCAUCAAUAAAUGAAGAAUGU